rnacentral:rRNA from 1 species
AGCGAACGCUGGCGGCAGGCCUAACACAUGCAAGUCGAACGAAGUCUUCGGACUUAGUGGCGGACGGGUGAGUAACACGUGGGAACGUACCUUUUGGCUCGGAACAACUCAGGGAAACUUGAGCUAAUACCGGAUGAGCCCUUAGGGGGAAAGAUUUAUCGCCGAAAGAGCGGCCCGCGUUAGAUUAGCUAGUUGGUGAGGUAAAGGCUCACCAAGGCUACGAUCUAUAGCUGGUCUGAGAGGAUGAUCAGCCACACUGGGACUGAGACACGGCCCAGACUCCUACGGGAGGCAGCAGUGGGGAAUCUUGCGCAAUGGGCGAAAGCCUGACGCAGCCAUGCCGCGUGAAUGAUGAAGGUCUUAGGAUUGUAAAAUUCUUUUACCAGGGACGAUAAUGACGGUACCUGGAGAGAAGCCCCGGCUAACUUCGUGCCAGCCGCCGCGGUAAAAC